rnacentral:lncRNA from 1 species
UUGGUUUCAAUUAAUUCGAAGAUUGCUAGCUACAACUAAAAUGGUGAUUCAAUGUUUUGACAUAAUAUAGGUUUCCGAAACCAUUAUUAAGAUAGUCUUGAUAAUAUAUGUCCAAAACUAUAAAUCACAAGACAUGUAAGUUUUAGAGAUCCAUCCAUCAUGGAUCUUAGCAAGUUAGUGGGAGCUAUUUGCAUUUUAUGAGGAAAAAGGAUCAAAUCGUUUGUUGAUUUCUCAUCAAGAUGUAAAUGAAUCUUUUGUUUACGAGUUUUACAAAAGAUUAGUGGGAGUUAAUCAUGUUCCUAAAAAUUUAAGUAUAUAU